rnacentral:lncRNA from 1 species
AACAAAUAUAUAUUAGUUCAGUGAUAAUGAACGCCAUACUAAUUUCCAAAUUGUACACAAGAAACUAAAAUUAAAAUAAUACAAGACUAACAAAGGCCAGAGGCUCCUGACUUGGGACAGGCACAAAAAUGCGGCGGGGUUAAACAUGUUUGUGAGAUCUCAACCCUCCCCCUAUACCUCUAGCCAAUGUAGAAAAGUAAACGCAUAACAAUACACACAUUAAAAUUCAGUCCAAGGAAGUCCGAGUCUGAUGUCAGAAGAUGUAACCAAAGAAAAUAAACAAAAUGACAAUAAUACAUAAAUAACAACAGACUACUAGCAUUUAACUGACAUGCCAGCUCCAGACUUCAAUUAAACUGACUGAAAGAUUAUGAUUUCAUCAUAUGAACAUCAGGCACAAUCCUUCCCGUUAGGGGUUUAGUAUUAUACCAUCAUAACAUAUAUGAGAAGAACAUAACCCGUGUCAUGCCAACAACUAGUUUUUGAAUAAAUGUGUUUAGUUCCGAUGCAAAGACCCUAUAAGUGAAUCAAUAUUAACGCCAAAAUAUGCAAUCUUUAAUGACC